rnacentral:tRNA from 1 species
GCCCGCAGUCGGUAGCGCGACACGUUCGCAUCGAGUAGGUCUGGGGUUCGAUUCCCCAUAGCUCCA